CGAGCUUGCCUAGAUGAUUUUAGUGCUUGCACUAAAUGAAACUAGAUACAAGCGAGCGGCGGACGGGUGAGUAACACGUGGGUAACCUGCCCAAGAGACUGGGAUAACACCUGGAAACAGAUGCUAAUACCGGAUAACAACACUAGACGCAUGUCUAGAGUUUGAAAGAUGGUUCUGCUAUCACUCUUGGAUGGACCUGCGGUGCAUUAGCUAGUUGGUAAGGUAACGGCUUACCAAGGCAAUGAUGCAUAGCCGAGUUGAGAGACUGAUCGGCCACAUUGGGACUGAGACACGGCCCAAACUCCUACGGGAGGCAGCAGUAGGGAAUCUUCCACAAUGGACGAAAGUCUGAUGGAGCAACGCCGCGUGAGUGAAGAAGGGUUUCGGCUCGUAAAGCUCUGUUGGUAGUGAAGAAAGAUAGAGGUAGUAACUGGCCUUUAUUUGACGGUAAUUACUUAGAAAGUCACGGCUAACUACGUGCCAGCAGCCGCGGUAAUACGUAGGUGGCAAGCGUUGUCCGGAUUUAUUGGGCGUAAAGCGAGUGCAGGCGGUUCAAUAAGUCUGAUGUGAAAGCCUUCGGCUCCCCCGGGGCUUUGCCUCCGCCCCUGUUGUGCUUGUGUGCUGNCGCGGCGCGUGGCCCUCCCUGUUUAGCGGUGGAAGGCGUAGUUUUUGGAAGAACACCAGUGGCGAAGGCGGCUCUCUGGUCUGCAACUGACGCUGAGGCUCGAAAGCAUGGGUAGCGAACAGGAUUAGAUACCCUGGUAGUCCAUGCCGUAAACGAUGAGUGCUAAGUGUUGGGAGGUUUCCGCCUCUCAGUGCUGCAGCUAACGCAUUAAGCACUCCGCCUGGGGAGUACGACCGCAAGGUUGAAACUCAAAGGAAUUGACGGGGGCCCGCACAAGCGGUGGAGCAUGUGGUUUAAUUCGAAGCAACGCGAAGAACCUUACCAGGUCUUGACAUCCAGUGCAAACCUAAGAGAUUAGGUGUUCCCUUCGGGGACGCUGAGACAGGUGGUGCAUGGCUGUCGUCAGCUCGUGUCGUGAGAUGUUGGGUUAAGUCCCGCAACGAGCGCAACCCUUGUCAUUAGUUGCCAUCAUUAAGUUGGGCACUCUAAUGAGACUGCCGGUGACAAACCGGAGGAAGGUGGGGAUGACGUCAAGUCAUCAUGCCCCUUAUGACCUGGGCUACACACGUGCUACAAUGGACGGUACAACGAGAAGCGAACCUGCGAAGGCAAGCGGAUCUCUUAAAGCUGUUCUCAGUUCGGACUGUAGGCUGCAACUCGCCUACACGAAGCUGGAAUCGCUAGUAAUCGCG
rnacentral:rRNA from 1 species